CUGAUGUUAGUUAAAGAUUGUUAAUUGUUAAGUAAACGUCAGUAACUUGCUCCUGGUUAAUGUUGUGCUCUUUCAAAUAACAUUGCAUUGGAAUAGUUUCGAAUGUAGUUGUUGAUGAGGUGACAGUGAGAGGACGUUGUCACAGGUCCAUGAGGAAAAAUGAGGAGGCUCAUCACCUUCAGGUUUUUCUGAUGUUCAUGUUGUGCUGCGGUUGCAGAGCCUUUUGCAGUAUUCCACAACGUUCCAUUGUGGUGUGUUUUUCAGUCUGAUGUCAAUAACUUUGUAGCUCCAUAAGAAACAGAAUAGGGUUGUUUGAGGAAAAUAAAUACAGAAAUACUUUGUGUGAUAAGUCAAAAGAAAGUUUGUGUUCAAAGCUUAUCCACUUACUUUAAUCCUUCAGUUUGUUCAAUUAUUACAAUGAAAUGUAAAAUUGUGUGCAGCAAAAACUUAUUUCAUGUUUCUAUAAUCAGGUUACAUUUCACGCUAGAGAGGUUCCUGUGGUACUGAACGGCAUGUCAUGUACCUGUUGUGCUGGGAAAGCACUGUGCAACCACAUCGUAGCACUACUGUUUCAAAGUGCUCAUUACAGUACCAUGGGGUUCAAGACAGUGCCAUUGCCACUGUCAUGCACUAGCUCACUGCAGACAUGGCACCGUCCUAGGACACAGGGAAUUGCACCUGAGUCAACAAACUGCAUGGUAGUGUGUAAACCAGUACCAAAAUCCCAGGAUCGUGCCCGAACUGGUGUGAAAUGUACACUGUACAGAGCAUAUAGUGGACCUCUUCCAGAUCCUAACAUCAUGGCCAGUGUUGAGAAGCUGCAAGAAAAACGCCCACAACCAGGCAUUUGCAAAAUACUGCAUGGACUUCAG